rnacentral:tRNA from 1 species
UCCCGGGUGGUGUAAUCGGUAGCACGGGGUAUUUUGGGUGCCUUCAAGUUCGGGUUCGAGUCCUGACCCGGGAG